rnacentral:lncRNA from 1 species
GGCCAGGCUGCCUCUCUGGAAUCCUGAGGUCCAUCAUGACAGGUUCUCUAGAUGAGGACUGAGCUGCACUGAGGAGUAGAGAAGUAGCCUGCAGCCUGAAGAAUGACAGCUGGCAGCCUAUGCUCAGAAAGGUGAGCUGUCCCCACAGCAUGGCCACUGACAAGUUGUGUAGGUCCACACCUGGGAACUGAAUCCCAGACUCAGAAGUGGGGAGUGCCAAACUUAACCACUAGGCCAGCGAGUUGGCCAAAUGAUUAUUCUUUAAAUAUUUCCAUUUAUCUUAAUUCUUUCAAAAGUGAAAAAAAUGGUGUCAAUAAACAUUAAAAGUUUCAAUAUUUUUGUUUACAGAAAUUUCUUUAUGAUAUAAAAAUGUUCAUUAAAAGUAAGCACAAAGUCAAUAGGAG